UGUCAUCGCGCCAUAGUCGAUGGUAGUACCUGCUCAGUGUAUCAUUUUAUAAAUAGCCGCAGUAUCUUGACUGUGCAAAGGUAGCAUAAUUAAUUGUCCUAUAAUUGAGGGCUUGUUUGAAUGGUUUGACGAGGUGGGCAGCCUAUAACUGAAGUUUAUUUGAAUUUAGUAUGGCAGUUCAGAACCUGCCUGUCGGUUAGUUAGACGGAAAGACCCCAGGAACUUUUAUUUUGUCUGGGGCAGAUUAGCAUUAUGUAUGCUUGUUACGGCCCCCUCCCAGCGGAGGGGCAUCGGUUAAGUUACCCUGGGGAUAACAGGGUGAUACCCCAUUAGAGACCGCAUCGAAUGGGGUGCUUGCUACCUCGAUGUUGACUUGAGUUACGCGCGUAGGUGCAGAAGCUUACGUGCUCGGUCUGUUCGACCAUAGUAACUCUC
rnacentral:rRNA from 1 species